rnacentral:rRNA from 1 species
UACGUAGGGUGCGAGCGUUGUCCGGAAUUACUGGGCGUAAAGGGCGCGUAGGCGGCACUGUUAGUCAGGCGUGAAAGUCCUGGGCUCAACCUGGGAACUGCGCUUGAUACGGCAGAGCUAGAGGAUGGAAGAGGCUCGCGGAAUUCCCAGUGUAGAGGUGAAAUUCGUAAAUAUUGGGAAGAACACCGGUGGCGAAGGCGGCGAGCUGGUCCAUUACUGACGCUGAGGCGCGACAGCGUGGGGAGCAAACAGG